AGAGUUUGAUCCUGGCUCAGAGUGAACGCUGGCGGCGUGCCUAAUACAUGCAAGUCGAACGAUGAAGCUUCUAGCUUGCUAGAAGUGGAUUAGUGGCGCACGGGUGAGUAACGCAUAGGUCAUGUGCCUCUUAGUUUGGGAUAGCCAUUGGAAACGAUGAUUAAUACCAGAUACUCCCUACGGGGGAAAGAUUUAUCGCUAAGAGAUCAGCCUAUGUCCUAUCAGCUUGUUGGUAAGGUAAUGGCUUACCAAGGCUAUGACGGGUAUCCGGCCUGAGAGGGUGAACGGACACACUGGAACUGAGACACGGUCCAGACUCCUACGGGAGGCAGCAGUAGGGAAUAUUGCUCAAUGGGGGAAACCCUGAAGCAGCAACGCCGCGUGGAGGAUGAAGGUUUUAGGAUUGUAAACUCCUUUUGUUAGAGAAGAUAAUGACGGUAUCUAACGAAUAAGCACCGGCUAACUCCGUGCCAGCAGCCGCGGUAAUACGGAGGGUGCAAGCGUUACUCGGAAUCACUGGGCGUAAAGAGCGCGUAGGCGGGAUAGUCAGUCAGGUGUGAAAUCCUAUGGCUUAACCAUAGAACUGCAUUUGAAACUACUAUUCUAGAGUGUGGGAGAGGUAGGUGGAAUUCUUGGUGUAGGGGUAAAAUCCGUAGAGAUCAAGAGGAAUACUCAUUGCGAAGGCGACCUGCUGGAACAUUACUGACGCUGAUUGUGCGAAAGCGUGGGGAGCAAACAGGAUUAGAUACCCUGGUAGUCCACGCCCUAAACGAUGGAUGCUAGUUGUUGGAGGGCUUAGUCUCUCCAGUAAUGCAGCUAACGCAUUAAGCAUCCCGCCUGGGGAGUACGGUCGCAAGAUUAAAACUCAAAGGAAUAGACGGGGACCCGCACAAGCGGUGGAGCAUGUGGUUUAAUUCGAAGAUACACGAAGAACCUUACCUAGGCUUGACAUUGAGAGAAUCCGCUAGAAAUAGUGGAGUGUCUAGCUUGCUAGACCUUGAAAACAGGUGCUGCACGGCUGUCGUCAGCUCGUGUCGUGAGAUGUUGGGUUAAGUCCCGCAACGAGCGCAACCCCCUUUCUUAGUUGCUAACAGGUCAUGCUGAGAACUCUAAGGAUACUGCCUCCGUAAGGAGGAGGAAGGUGGGGACGACGUCAAGUCAUCAUGGCCCUUACGCCUAGGGCUACACACGUGCUACAAUGGGGUGCACAAAGAGAAGCAAUACUGCGAAGUGGAGCCAAUCUUCAAAACGCCUCUCAGUUCGGAUUGUAGGCUGCAACUCGCCUGCAUGAAGCUGGAAUCGCUAGUAAUCGCAAAUCAGCCAUGUUGCGGUGAAUACGUUCCCGGGUCUUGUACUCACCGCCCGUCACACCAUGGGAGUUGUGUUUGCCUUAAGUCAGGAUGCUAAAUUAGCUACUGCCCACGGCACACACAGCGACUGGGGUGAAGUCGUAACAAGGUAACCGUAGGUGAACCUGCGGUUG
rnacentral:rRNA from 1 species